rnacentral:rRNA from 1 species
GACAACGCUGGCGGCACGCCUAACACAUGCAAGUCGAACGGUGAAGAGGAGCUUGCUCCUCGGAUCAGUGGCGGACGGGUGAGUAACACGUGAGCAAUCUGCCUUUCAGAGGGGGAUACCAGUUGGAAACGACUGUUAAUACCGCAUAACAUAAUCGAACCGCAUGAUUUGAUUAUCAAAGAUUUAUCGCUGAAAGAUGAGCUCGCGUCUGAUUAGCUAGUUGGUGAGGUAACGGCUCACCAAGGCGACGAUCAGUAGCCGGCCUGAGAGGGUGAACGGCCACAUUGGGACUGAGACACGGCCCAAACUCCUACGGGAGGCAGCAGUGGGGAAUAUUGCACAAUGGGGGAAACCCUGAUGCAGCGACGCCGCGUGAGUGAAGAAGUAUUUCGGUAUGUAAAGCUCUAUCAGCAAGGAAGAAAAUGACGGUACUUGACUAAGAAGCCCCGGCUAACUACGUG